GAUGAACGCUGGCGGCGUGCUUAAUACAUGCAAGUCGAGCGAACGGACGAGAGGCUGGCGGCGCAGAUGUUAGCGGCGGACGGGUGAGUAACACGUGGGUAACCUACCGAUAAGACGGGGAUAACUGCGGGAAAGGGGAGCUAAUACCGGAGAAUAUUGGGAACGGCAUGGUUCAAGAGUGAAAGACGGUGUUGCUGUCACUGAUAGAUUGAUCGGCGCUGGAUGAGCUAGUUGGUAAGGUAACGGCUUACGAAGGCAACGAUGCAUAGCCGACGUGAGAGGGUGUACGCCCACUGUGGAAGUGUAACGCGGUCCUGACUCCUACGGGAGGCCCCAGUACCGACUCUUGCGCAAUGGGCGAAAGCCUGCCGGAGCGGCGCCGGGUGGGUGCUGCAGGUCUUCGGGUCGUAAGACUCUCUUCUUGUGGAAGACCCCAUGUGCUAGUAACGGUGCGCAUCUUGACGGUACCUAAUCAGGAAGCCCCGGCUAACUACGUG
rnacentral:rRNA from 1 species